rnacentral:lncRNA from 1 species
UCUGAGUUACUUGUGUACUAACUUUGUCCUUGCUGUGGUUCUUGUGAUUUUUCUUCAGCCAAUUAGAUGUCUUGUGAUUUUUUAGCCUAAUAUGCCUCUACUAAUUUUCUUGGUUCAACUUUUCUACUAAUUUUAUAUGUCUAUGCUCAUCCUGGAUAUUCAUGGUAAACCUACAUAUAGUUUGUUAAAACCUCUGUGUUGAAUCCCGACUACUCUUUUCUUGCCUAUUUGAAUUGUCUGCGAUAUCUGCUGACUCUUUACAUAAUUUUCUCUUUUGAUUAAACCCUUGACUAUUCUGAAGUUCUUAUUUUUGGUUUGAUUUGAACUCUUCUCCUUAACAAAACCUUUGCUUUUUACUUCUCUACUCGGGUUGAUUGAACUUCUUGCCUUAAUUAGUUUUCUCUUGCCUUAUUUGAAUCAUUGAUGUUAUUUGUUGUUUCUUACUAAUUGUUUCCUUAUUUGAAUCAUUGAUGGUAAUUAGGUAAUUCACCCCUAAUUACCUAAUAUGUACCCAAGUCUUACUUGAUUUUCUUCCUUAUAUAUCAGUCCUGCUUUUACCGUGAUUGAUUAUCCCUUGAUUAAGGGGAAGACUUUACUGAUUUCAUGUGUGUGACCGAUUCUGUGAAUUUUCCUAAUUGCUACAUGAUUUAUUCUUUACCGUAUUUUGUUUAACUUUUGAUUACUAUAUAUGUCGUUACCCAUUGUCACUUCAAAAGCACGAAAAACAGUUCAAAAACUACCACUUUUACACUCUAAAAAAAGGCUCUCUCUGCUCUCUUUGCUACUUGUGAUCUCUGUUAUUCUAGCCAACUGCAAGCCAAGGCUGGAAAUUUCACAUCAUCUUUCUCACAUCUUGUAUUUUCUUUAACUAAGUGUGCUUCUGAUUAACUGUAUUAGACCUAUGUGUUUAUUUACUGUAUUAGUUCAUAUGGCCUAAGUCCAUCCUUGCUUCUGUUUACUGCUUGCCCAUCAUGAAAAUUACUGUCUAUUCAAAGCUUACGACACACCGGAAUGGCCCUUCUUGCAGCAGAUUCUAAUAGCUUAUAGAUUCCCAGCCAAAUUUAUUGACUGGAUUAUGGCAUGUACCUCUACUGUAUCCUUUUC